ACAGGCAGGACGAGUCUGAGCCGCGCGGCGCCGUGCAGGAGAAUGUGCUGCGGAGGUGUUGGAGUGAGGAUGUCAUCUGCCUACCUCAAACUCACAUAUUGACUACUGGACUCAUUCCAUUUCCUACUAAACUAUUGGGCUCUUCACUACCUCCCUGACGCCAUCCUCCAAUUCGACACCUACAUAUCCUGGUGUCUGGCAGACAGAUCAAGACAGCCUCCCCUGAAGGUGUAUCCACAGACUGUGCAGGGGGAUGGAAAAGGAGCAUCCAGCUGCUUGUGACUCAGGUGGUGGUUGGAGUACUCACAAAGCCGUGACUCUGCAUACCGUUUCGCAUGUAUACAGUUUAGCUUGCCCAACACAUCCGACACUGCCUUUACUG